CAGGCGGGCUCAUAUAGUCUAGCUGAAAAUAAACAAUCUGCACAUAACAACAGAGGUUUUUUUGAAAGAAGAGAACUGUGGCGUCGAAGAAGAUAUAUGAACUGGUGAGGGUACUUAAGCGGAAUGCUUUAAAAGGAUGAAAGAGAAACCAGACGAAAUUGAGUUGUCUCAAAUCAUCAUCAUCGCUGAGCAUGAUAAUCAACAACAUGUAUCCAAUGAGCUUGUCACCGAACAUGAUAUUUUACUAUAUGGAAAGCCAAACGAGAUAGAACAACCUGAUUAUUUUUACUUGGCUCUCUUCGCCUGCUUGUGUUGCUUUUUCCCGGUUGGUAUUUGCGCCCUAACAAAGUCCAUUCAGGUAAGGAGGUACAUGUCAUCUGGGCAGACAUUGAAUGCAGUACUCGCCUCUCAUGAUGCUCGUUAUUAUACAUCCGUCGCUAUUGGGGUUGGUUCAGCCUUUCUUUUGACUUCCGUCUGUGUAUUUAUCGUAAUAUAUGCGGCAUUCCGUACGUUAUGAAAAUAACUGUACUUAAACGAGUCAUAUGUGUGGUCAUCCAUGAUAAUAAUAAAAAUAAUAAUAACAAUAACACUGAUAAAGGAAAAUAUUGAAGAGGAUGCACAGCCCAAAAAAAUGUACCAAACAUAACUAUAAUAUCUAUGAUAAUACGAGCGCGAAUCGCGUGCUGUUUUUUUUUCGGAUUGAGACCCACAAAGCAGGAAAAUUUUGAACGCUUUUUUGUUAUCAUAAACGGGACACCUUUCUGACAAUUAAAUAUUGCGAACGCGAAGCGCGAACUUGAAAUUGUUUAAUAUUCAUAAAUGAAAAGGGACAUUUAAUGACUGUUUGUAGGAAUUCAUGAAAAAACAAGCCUAAGUAUCUCUUUAAUCAAAUAUUUUGAGCGGGAAGCGCAAGCUUAAAAAUUGUGAUAUUCAGAAACGAAACAUUUUUUUAAAAAGUAAUUAAUGAAGAGCAUAAAUAGAGCGUUGUGGCCCAGUGGAUUAGUCUUCUGACUUUUAAACAGAGGGUCGUGGGUUCGAAUCCCAACCAUGGCGUAAUUUCCUUCAGCAAGAAACUCGUCCACAUUGUGCUGCACUCAACCCAGGUGAGGUGAAUGGGUACCCGGUAGGAAGAUAUUCCUUGAAUGCUUGAGCACCUAGGCAACUCAGCUAAAGUCGGGGUAAUAAUAAUAGCAGGGCCCGCUGGGAGAACAAUUUUUAGAACUGAAAAGGCUUCCCUGGGUAAAUAUACCUAUAUUAUUAUUGUUGUUAUCAUCAUUAAUAUUAUUAUUAUUAUUAUUAUUAUUACAUGAACGCAUCUCACCAUUAAACCAAGGUGAGCGAGAAGCAGGGCCGAUCUUUUUGUAUACAUAUACAUCUAUCCAGACCUACAAGCAGAAACUUUAAGCCCCUUUGUUAGUCAUAAAAACUAUGUAUAUGUCACUAAAAAAAAUAAUGUAUUUAUUCAUUUAUUCAUUUAUAUUUAUUUAUAAGUUUUUUUUAGUAGGGUGGCUCCAUUAGUAAUUGGUAUACUGUUGUCCUUGGAGGCCCUACAACAAAAAUACGAACGUAAUAAACAUGGGUAUAAAAAGUGUACCGUUAGUUAAGACAAACAGACUGUGAAGAAGAGAACAAAACAAAGGGUCAGUUUAUAAAUUAAGGCUAUUAUAACGCGAAAGUGAAAGACAAAAACUGGACUGGAGACUGUCGGAAAAAUAAUAAACUGUCGGGCACACGGGGCUGUUCCAACUGAUUCGGUUUUUUAGUUCCACCAUCUUUGUCGGUAAAUGUCAAUUGAACUGUACACUUUUAUCGGUAAAUUGUGAAUUUUACGCAAUGCGACUUUUAGAGCUUUCUGUACCGAUCAUGAGUAAGGACUGGGCUGGCAGGGGACAGGAAAAAGGUACAGAACAACUUUUAGGUAAUGUAAUUAAAACAAUAAAAAUUUCGCUCGCGUUAAGCACUCGCAUCAAUUUAUUAGUUGGAUACCUGAAAUAAAUGUCUAGUUUUUAGGUUAAAAUAUUAAAAAAAUUCAGCUCGCUCUACGCGCUCGCAUCAAUUAAUUAUUCAGUUAGAAACCAAUUUGUUCAUGCUACUAAAAGUGCUUAGAAUAUCAAGUUUUAAGUCGGAAUAUCAAACUUUUAGCUCGCGAUUCGCGCCCGCACGACUAUUCAGAUACCCAUCCUGUAAAACUGCUUAGAAUGUCUAGUGUCCAGUUAGGAAUAUCAAUUUUUUUUGCUCGCACUUCGCGCCCGCAUAAUUUAUUUAGGAAGAUACCAAUCGUAUUAAUGAAUAAGUGCACAAAAUGUAUCGUUUUAGGUCUAAUUUUUAAGAAAAAUAGCUCGCGCUUCGCGCUCGCAAUUAUUAUAUUUAUAUUAUUAUUUUUAACUGAUUUUAAUGUCAAAUACCUUUUUUAUAACGUCUCCAAAUCAGCAGAAUUGGGAAUAUAAUGUAAACACCUUCAGGGAGGAAUAAAAGAAGUAUAUUAAUAUAAACAUUGCAAUUACCACUUGAUUAGAAAAAUAUCGAUCACGAUCCAAUGCAUUUCCUUUCCUGGAAUGAAAUACAAAAAAAAAAAUUGACAAUAAAGUGUAAUCGCCCGAUAGCAAAUAUCAGUAGUAGCAAGAUCCCAACUGUUUUACUGGGCACCCCCUGGGUAACAUUUCCCACCUUCAGUGCCACUGCCAGACCUACACAUCCAAACGUGUAUGGGGGGUGGGCUGCAAAAUGCAGGGCAACGAGGACUGCGAGGUGCCCAAAUAUCCUCGUGUAUUGGUAAUUUUAUGACCGAAUGUAUAAGUUCUGCACGUUUCACAUCAUGUAAAAAGGCUAAAUAAUAAUUGAAAAAGAAAUUAAAAACUGUGAAGUUGAUAUUUGGGCAAUGAUUAUCAGACCUCUUGAAAAAAAUAUGCCUAUAUACGUCCAUGCCUACUACCCUCCUACCACCUUGCUCAUUCUUGUC